GAUGAACGCUGGCGGCGUGCCUAACACAUGCAAGUCGAACGGAGAUUACGGACGGAAGUUUUCGGAUGGAAGUUUGUAAUUCUUAGUGGCGGACGGGUGAGUAACGCGUGGGCAACCUGCCCUAUACAGGGGGAUAGCAGCUGGAAACGGCUGGUAAGACCGCAUAAGUCGGUUAAAUCGCAUGAUUUGAUCGGGAAAUGAGCAAUCAGGUAUAGGAUGGGCCCGCGACCGAUUAGCCAGUUGGCAGGGUAAAAGCCUACCAAAGCGACGAUCGGUGGCCGGACUGAGAGGUCGGACGGCCACAUUGGGACUGAGACACGGCCCAAACUCCUACAGGAGGCAGCAGUGGGGGAUAUUGCACAAUGGAGGAAACUCUGAUGCAGCGACGCCGCGUGAGUGAGGAAGUAUUUCGGUAUGUAAAGCUCUAUCAGCAGGGAAGAUGAUGACG
rnacentral:rRNA from 1 species